GGGCGCGUAGCUCAGUUGGGAGAGCGCCAGCUCGACAAGCUGGAUGCCGUUGGUUCAAGUCCAAUCGUGCCCA
rnacentral:tRNA from 1 species